rnacentral:rRNA from 1 species
UGAGAACCUUCCCUAUGGUUCGGAAUAGCUCAGGGAAACGUGGGGUAAUACCGGAUAAGCCCUUCGGGGAAAGAUUUAUCGCCAUUGGAUGGGCCCGCGUCGGAUUAGUUAGUUGGUGAGGUAACGGCUCACCAAGGCAACGAUCCGUAGCUGGUCUGAGAGGAUGAUCAGCCACACUGGGACUGAGACACGGCCCAGACUCCUACGGGAGGCAG